GCGCUGUGCCAAGCACACCCGGUGCCCGGGGUGGAGGGGGGGGACACAGCCCGCUCCGGUCCUGGCCCUGGGGGACCCGUGCCCAGGACAGGUCACAGCCCGGGGGUGGCCCUCCUGUGUUCUGCGUAUGCCGAAUUUUGCUUCAUCACCGAAAUCGUGUCAAUAUCAUCAAGUUGUUUACAGAGGCGGGGGGGGCUGCGCUGCUCCCCGGCAGAUGUCUUCGUAGCAGAGAUGCUGCAUGUGUGUCCGUGGGCACGCCGUGCUCGCUGCAAAAUGGGGGGCUGCGGGGCUGGCCGCCACGCCAGAAACCUGUGGCGUGCAUUAAAAACAAUGCCUAAACAUGCUAAAGCGUAAUUUGCGGCUUGUUGGUCGCGGUGGGGCGGGGGCUAGUGGGAGGACUGUGCUGGGUCCAGGAAGCAGAACCGAGGCAGAUUUGCUCGGUGGUUGCACGGCCGCCCCUCAUCGCAGCGCCCGAGCCCCCUCCCAGCAUUUAGGGAAAGAGCAGAACAAAGAUACAGGAGCGAUUAAUCAAGUGGCUAAUAAAAAAGUAUAAAUCCCCGGGGGCUGCGCGCCGCUGAUGCCGGGGAGCUGGCUCGGAGACAGCCACCGGGAGGGACGAGCCAGCCCUCCUCUCCUCUCCUCGCCUCUCCUCGUCUCUCCUCUCCCCGAGCUGCUGCCACACUUGGUUCAUUCCAGCUGCAGAAGCUCAGAGCCUUCCAUGCGCCGAGCCGAGGACUAUCCCAAUCGCAAAGGGGGAGAAAAAGGGGGGAAAAUCCACCACCAACCAACCCCCAGCACGCCCCAUUCCUGCCGCCCUUUGACAUGCAACCUUCCUUGGGAUGGGACUGGCCGGGAUGCAGCUGCAGCCUCGGAAGGAAUUGGGGAAAAUUGGGGAUCUUGGCUCUGAUGACGGUGGAAGUGAGCUCCUGGAGCCGGGUGCUGCUGCUCUCCGUGGGGCUGCUGGCUGCCUCAGCGAACGCCCAGAACUGCAGUCACAUUUUGCACGGCCCAAAUGGGACAAUACAGAGUCCAGGCUUUCCAUAUGGAUAUCCAAAUUAUGCAAACUGCACGUGGACAAUUACUGCUGAGGAGCAGAACAGGAUACAGCUUGUUUUCCAGUCCUUCGCGUUAGAGGAAGAUUUCGAUGUAUUAUCUAUCUACGAUGGACUGCCUCAGCAGGGGAACCUGAGAACAAGGUUAACAGGUUUCCAGCUGCCUGCUCCUAUUGUGAGCACGGGGGUCGUGCUGUCCUUGUGGCUUGUGAGUGACUACGCAGUCAGUGCUCAAGGCUUCCAGGCAAACUACGAAGUUCUACCGAGCCACACGUGCGGAAACCCAGGCAGGCUGCAGAACGGCGUUCAGCAGGGGACGACGUUCAGCAUUGGGGACAAAGUGAGGUACAGCUGCAACCCCGGCUUCUUCCUGGAGGGCCACGCGCUGCUCACGUGCCACGCCAGCGUGGAGAACGGAGCCUCCUGGGAUUUUCCUCUCCCCUUCUGCAGAGCCGAUGACGCUUGCGGAGGGACGCUGAGGGGGCAGAGCGGAAUUAUCUCGAGCCCACACUUUCCCUUGGAGUACGGCAAUAACGCAGACUGCACGUGGACUAUUCUCGCUGAACCUGGAGACACCAUUGCUCUGGUUUUCAUGGAUUUUCAGCUGGAAGAUGGAUAUGAUAUUUUAGAAGUUGCUGGAACAGAAGGCUCUUCGCUCUGGUUCACGGGGAUGAAUCUGCCCGCCCCGGUUAUCAGCAGUAAAAAUUGGCUGCGGCUUCACUUCACAUCCGAUGGCAACCACAGGCAGAAGGGGUUCAGCGCGCAGUACCAAGUCAAAAAGCAAAUGGAACUGAAAUCUAGAGGGGUGAAGCUAAUGCCAAGCAAGAACAGUAACCAGAAGACAUCAGUGUUAACUCAGGUUGGUGUGUCCCAGGGACAUAAUAUGUGUCCAGACCCUGGGAUUCCAGAGAGAGGCAAAAGAAUAGGCAACGAUUUUAGGUUAGGCUCCAGCAUCCAGUUCACCUGUAACGAGGGCUACGAUUUACAAGGGUCCAAAAGCAUCACCUGCAAGAGAGUGAGCGACAUCAUUGUUGCCUGGAGCGACCACAGACCAGUGUGCAGAGCACGGAUGUGUGAUACGUACCUCCGUGGUCCCAGCGGCGUGAUAACUUCUCCCAACUACCCCGUCCAGUACGAUAACAACGCCUACUGCGUGUGGGUCAUCACUGCGCUCAACCCCGCCAAGGUUAUCAAACUCACCUUUGAAGAAUUUGAACUAGAAAGAGGAUAUGACACUCUGACAGUUGGUGAUGGAGGACAAGUGGGAGACCAGAAAUCUGUGCUUUACGUCUUGACAGGCACCACGGUCCCCGACCUCAUUGUCAGCACACACCACCAGAUGUGGCUCCUCUUCCAGACAGACAGUGUCAGUAACCUGCUGGGAUUCAAAGCAACGUACGAAGAGAUCGACCAGGGGAGCUGCGGGGAUCCCGGCGUUCCGGCCUACGGCAGACGAGAAGGGUCCACGUUUCGCCACGGGGACAGUUUGAAGUUUGAGUGCCAGCCCGCCUUUGAGCUGAAGGGCCAGAAAACAAUUACCUGCCAAAAGAGUAGCCAGUGGUCUGCUCAGAAACCUGUCUGUGUUUUUUCCUGCUUUUUCAACUUCACCACCCCGUCUGGGAUCGUGCUGUCACCAAAUUACCCUGAAGAAUACGGAAGCAGCUUGCACUGCGUUUGGUUGAUUAUAGCGAAACCUGAGAGCCGAAUUCAUUUGGCUUUCAAUGAUUUUGACGUGGAGCCUCAGUUUGAUUUCCUAGCCGUGAAGGACGGUGGCACCGCGGAGUCGCCGGUGCUGGGCACCUUCUCAGGAAACCAGAUCCCCUCCUCGCUGACCAGCAGCGGCCACGUCGCCAGGCUGGAGUUCCAGACUGACCACUCCAUGGAGAAGAGAGGCUUCAACAUCACCUUCACCACAUUUAGGCACAACGAGUGCCCGGACCCCGGCGUGCCCGUGAAUGGGAAGCGCUUUGGGGACAGCCUCCAGCUCGGCAGCUCCGUGUCGUUCCUUUGCGACGAGGGCUUCAUCAGGACCCACGGCUCAGAGACCAUCACCUGCAUCCUGAAGGAAGGGAACGUGGUCUGGAACAACGCCGUGCUCAGAUGUGAAGCUCCGUGCGGGGGCCACCUGACGUCGCCCAGCGGCACCAUCCUGUCCCCUGGCUGGCCUGGCUUCUACAAGGACUCCCUGAGCUGCGCCUGGGUGAUCGAGGCCCAGCCCGGAUACCCCAUCAAGAUCACGUUUGACAGGUUUAAGACGGAGGUGAAUUACGACACCCUGGAGGUGCGAGAUGGCCGCUCCUACUCUUCCCCACUGAUAGGCGUCUAUGAUGGGACUCAGGUGCCCCAGUUCCUCAUCAGCACCAGCAACUACCUCUACCUCCUCUUCACCACUGACAAAAGCCAUUCUGACAUUGGCUUUCAGAUCCGAUAUGAAACUGUGAAGCUCCAGUCUGACCACUGCUUGGAUCCGGGGAUCCCUGUCAAUGGGCAGCGCCAUGGGAAUGACUUCUACGUGGGGGCACUGGUGACAUUCAGCUGUGACUCGGGCUACACCCUGAGUGACAGCGAAGCCCUGGAGUGUGAGCCAAACUUCCAGUGGAGCAGGCCACUGCCAAGCUGUGAGGCUCUAUGUGGAGGUUACAUUCGUGGUUCCAGUGGUACUAUCUUAUCCCCAGGCUUUCCUGAUUUUUAUCCAAAUAACUUGAACUGCACGUGGACAAUAGAAACAUCACAUGGAAAAGGCGUGUUCUUCACCUUUCAUACCUUCCACCUGGAGAACGGCCACGACUACCUCCUCAUCACCGAGAACGCCAGCUUCGCGCAGCCCCUGAAGCAGCUCACCGGCUCCCGCCUGCCCGCCCCGCUCAGCGCAGGGCUCUUCGGAAACUUCUCUGCACAAAUCCGCUUCAUCUCAGACUUCUCCAUGUCCUACGAGGGCUUCAACAUCACCUUCUCAGAAUACGACUUGGAGCCCUGCGACGAGCCGGAGGUCCCAGCCUACAGCAUCAGGAAGGGGCUGCACUUCGGCGUGGGCGACGUCCUCAGCUUCUCCUGCUUCCCCGGGUACCGGCUGGAGGGCACGGCGCGCAUCACCUGCCUCGGGGGGAGACGGCGUGUGUGGAGUUCGCCUCUGCCAAGGUGUGUUGCUGAAUGUGGUUCGUCUGUAACUGGGACUCAGGGUGUUCUGCUGUCCCCCAACUACCCGCUGAACUACAACAACAACCACGAGUGCAUCUACUCCAUCCAGACGCAGCCAGGAAAGGGGAUCCAGCUGAAGGCCAGGACUUUCGAACUGGAAGCGGGAGAUGUCCUCAAGGUCUACGAUGGCAGCAAUAGCUCUGCUCGCCUGCUGGGUUCCUUCAGCCGCUCGGAAAUGCUCGGCACCAGCAUCAACAGCACUUCCAGCAGCAUGUGGCUCGAGUUCGUCACCAACAGCGAGAACACCAGCAAAGGCUUUGAGCUGCAGUUUUCCAGUUUUGAACUCAUCAAAUGCGAGGACCCCGGCAUCCCGCAGUUUGGCUACAAGGUCCAUGAUGAGGGGCACUUUGCUGGCAGCUCGGUGUCGUUUAACUGUGACCCCGGCUACACGCUGCGGGGCAGCAGGGUGCUGGUGUGCCUGACUGGGGAGCGGAGAGCCUGGGAUCAGCCCCUGCCAACCUGUGUGGCUGAGUGCGGGGGUACUAUCAAAGGAGAGUCGUCAGGACGGAUUCUGUCUCCCGGAUACCCCACCCCCUAUGAUCAUAACCUGAACUGCAUUUGGUCCAUAGAGGCAGAAGCUGGCUGCACCAUCGGGCUCCAUUUCAUGGUUUUCCACACCGAGGAGUUCCACGACGUGCUGAGGAUCUGGGACGGUCCCGUGGAGAACGGGAUCCUCCUGAAGGAGAUGAGUGGCUCCAGCCUGCCCAGCGACGUCCACAGCACUUUCAGUUCUGUCAUCCUUCAGUUCAACACUGAUUUCUUCACGAGCAAGCAGGGCUUCGCCAUUCAGUUUUCAGUUUCCACUGCCACUUCCUGCAAUGACCCAGGGAUUCCCCAGAACGGGAGCCGGAGUGGUGACAGCAAGGAGGCAGGAGACUCCAUCAUCUUCCAGUGUAAUCCAGGAUAUGCUCUGCAAGGGGAGGCCAAAAUCACCUGUGUGCAGAUUGAGAACAGAUUCUUCUGGCAGCCGGACCCUCCGUCCUGCACAGCUCCCUGUGGAGGGAUCUUGACGGGACCAGCAGGAGUGAUCCUGUCCCCGCAGUACCCAGAGCCCUACCCGCCGGGGAAGGAGUGUGACUGGAAGCUGACCGUCUCUCCGGAUUAUGUCAUUGCCCUGGUGUUUAACAUCUUCAGUUUGGAGCCUGGCUAUGAUUUCCUGCACAUUUACGAUGGGCCCGAUUCGCUCAGCCCCCUGAUUGGAAGCUUUUAUGGCUCCCAGCUACCUGAGAGGAUAGAGAGCAGCAGUAACAGCCUCUUCCUCGCCUUCCGAAGUGAUGCAUCCGUCAGCAAUACUGGAUUUGUCAUUGAAUACACAGAAAAUCCCAGGGAAUCAUGCUUUGAUCCUGGAUCAAUUAAAAAUGGUACACGAGUGGGUACAGAUCUGAAACUGGGAUCUACAAUUACCUACUACUGUGAUGGAGGGUAUGAUAUCGAAGGGGUCUCCACGCUGACGUGUAUAAUGGGAGAGGAUGGAAAACCUGCGUGGAACAAACCCCGACCUACCUGUACAGCACCCUGUGGCGGUCAGUACACAGGCUCAGAUGGUGUAGUCCUCUCUCCAAAUUAUCCCCAGAAUUACACCAGUGGACAAGUCUGCUUGUACUUCAUCGUGGUGCCGAAGGACUACGUGGUCUUCGGGCAGUUUGCCUUCUUCCAGACUGCACUCAAUGACAUCAUCGAGGUUCACGAUGGCCCCAACCAGCACUCCCGGCUCCUCAGCUCCCUCUCAGGCUCUCAUACAGGUGAAUCAUUGCCAUUAGCUACCACCAACCAGAUUCUCAUCAAAUUUAGUUCCAAGGGGCAAUCUACAGCCAAAGGCUUUCAUUUUGUCUACCAAGCGGUUCCUCGCACCAGUGCCACGCAGUGCAGCUCGGUCCCGGAGCCGCGCUACGGCCGGCGGCUGGGCAGCGACUUCGCGGUGGGGGCUGUGGUGCGCUUCGAGUGCAGCGCCGGCUACGUGCUGCAGGGCUCCCGCAGCAUCGAGUGCCUCACCAUGCCUGGUGCACUGGCUCAGUGGAACGUCUCUGUACCCACCUGCGUGGUGCCAUGUGGUGGAAAUCUGACUGAGCGCAAAGGCACCAUCCUCUCCCCUGGCUUCCCAGAGCCGUACCUGAACAGCCUCAACUGUGUGUGGAAGAUAUCAGUCCCCGAGGGAGCAGGAAUCCAGAUACAGGUGAUCAGUUUUGUCACUGAGCAGAACUGGGAUUCCCUGGAAGUGUUUGAUGGAGGAGAUAACACAGCCACCAUGCUGGGAAGUUUCUCUGGAACUACAGUGCCUGCGUUGCUGAACAGCACUUCAAACCAGCUCUAUCUGCAUUUCUACUCGGAUAUCAGCGUCUCUGCUGCUGGCUUUCACCUGGAAUACAAAACUGUCGGCCUGUCCAGCUGCCCAGAGCCCCCAGUUCCUGGGAACGGCCUGAAGGUCGGGGAGCGCUACCUGGUGAACGACGUCGUCUCCUUCCAGUGCGAGCCAGGCUACGCGCUGCAGGGACACUCUCACAUUUCCUGCAUGCCAGGCACCGUGCGGCGCUGGAACUACCCCCCUCCGCUUUGCAUUGCCCAGUGUGGAGGAACAGCAGAGGAGAUGGAAGGAGUCCUCCUGAGCCCGGGGUUCCCAGGAAACUACCCCAGCAACCUGGACUGCACGUGGAGGAUCCUGCUGCCAGUGGGGUUUGGUGCUCACAUUCAAUUCCUAAACUUCUCCACUGAGCCAAACCAUGACUUCGUUGAGGUGCGCAAUGGGCCGUACGACACCAGCAACGUCAUCGGGCGCUUCAGCGGCACCGAAAUCCCAGGCUCCCUCCUGUCCACAUCUCAUGAAACCACGGUGUACUUCCACAGCGACCAUUCACAGAACAAGCCAGGCUUCAAGCUGGAGUACCAAGCGUAUGAGCUGCAGGAAUGCCCUGACCCUGAGCCUUUUGCCAACGGUGUUGUACGAGGAGCUGGUUACAACGUUGGCCAGUCCAUCUCUUUUGAGUGCCUGCCUGGGUACCAGCUGAUCGGUCACCCCGUCCUGACAUGUCAGCACGGAACCAACAGGAACUGGGAUCACCCAUUGCCCAGGUGUGAAGUGCCUUGCGGGGGCAAUGUCACCACCCAGAAUGGGACAGUUUACUCUCCUGGCUUCCCCAACCAGUACCCCAAUUCCCAGGACUGCACGUGGCUCCUUACGGUGCCUGUGGGCUACGGGAUCCAUCUCAACUUCACUCUGUUGCAAACAGAGCCCUACAAUGAUUUCAUCACGAUUUGGGAUGGUCCGCAACAAACAGCCCCGCAGCUUGGCGUGUUCACUGGCAACUCUGCUAAGAAGUCAGCCCAAAGCUCUUCCAAUCAGGUCCUGGUGAAAUUCCACAGUGAUGCUGCAAAUGGAGGGAUUUUUGCCAUUUACUUCUAUGCCUACCAGCUCUUCAGGUGUCAGCCUCCGACCAUGGUUCCCAAUGCAGAAAUCAUCACUGAGAAUGAAGAGUUUAACAUAGGUGACAUUGUGAGGUACAGGUGCCUUCCUGGCUUUACACUGAUUGGGAAUGAAAUCCUGACCUGCAAACUAGGCACUCACCUGCAGUUUGAAGGCCCUCCGCCCACCUGUGAAGUGCCCUGCCCGAUGAACGAGGUGAUGACAGACUCCACGGGUGUGAUCCUCAGCCAGAGCUUCCUGGGAAGUUACCCUCACUUCCAGACCUGCUCUUGGGUGGUCAAGGUGGAGCCUGGCUACAACAUCUCCCUUACCAUCGAGUACUUCCUCAGCGAGAAGCAGUAUGAUGAGUUUGAGAUCUUUGACGGUCCCUCUGGCCACAGCCCACUGCUCUUGUCACUGAGCGGGAACUACUCUGCCCCUCUGACUGUCACCAGCAGCGGGAACAAAGUCUAUCUCCGUUGGUCCUCUGAUCAUGCCUACAACAGAAAAGGCUUCAAAAUCCGCUACUCUGCUCCUUACUGCAGCCUCCCGCAGCCUCCAGCCCACGGGCUGAUUCUCAGCCAGACGGGGCUGCAGCCCGGCUCCACGGUUCGCUUUGGCUGUGACACCGGCUACCGGCUCGUGGGCCACAGCACUGCCACCUGCUCCCAGCACCCCCAGGGCUACUUCCACUGGAACGAAGCGAUCCCGCUGUGCCAAGCUCUCUCCUGUGGAGUUCCCAGAGCCCCAAAGAACGGCGUGGUCUUCGGCAAGGAGUACACAGUGGGGACGAAAGCUGUGUACCACUGUGACCAGGGCUUCCAGCUGGCUCCUGGCGAGCUGUCCAGCGCCGAGUGCCUGCAGGAAGGGCAGUGGAGCAACGGCAACCAGCCCCCACCCUGCGUGGCUGUCACCUGCCCCGAUAUCAGCAGCAUUGCGGUGGAGCACGGCCGGUGGCGGCUGACCUACGAGAUCCAGUACCACUACAACGCGCAGCUGAUGCUCAUCUGUGACCCCGGCUACUACUACACGGGCCAGCGGGUCAUCAGGUGCCAGGCCAACGGCAAGUGGAGCAUUGGCGAGCCCAUGCCAACCUGCAAAAUUAUCUCCUGUGGAGACCUGCCGACGCCGCCCAACGGGAACAAGAUCGGCACGCUGACCAGCUACGGGGCCACUGCCAUCUUCUCCUGCAACACCGGCUACACCCUGGUGGGCUCCCGCGUGCGCGAGUGCAUGGCCAACGGGCUCUGGAGCGGGGCCGACGUGAGGUGCCUGGCCGGGCACUGCGGCGUUCCCAGCCCCAUCGUCAACGGGCAGAUCAACGGCGAGAACUACAACUACCGCGGCAGCGUGGUGUACCAGUGCAACCCCGGCUUCCGCCUGAUCGGGAUGUCCGUGCGCAUCUGCCAGCAGGACCACCGCUGGUCCGGGAAGACGCCUGUCUGUGUGCGUGUAACUUUAUACUGCAGCGAGCAUCUGACUUACACCAGGCAGGGGGAGGAAAACAUCAGGUUUCAUGGCUGCGUUUGUGAUGCCCAGGCCAUCACUUGUGGCCACCCUGGCAACCCCGCCAACGGCCUCACCCAGGGCGCUCAGUUCAACCUGAACGACGUGGCCAAGUUCAUCUGCAACACCGGGUACCGCCUGGAAGGAGCAGCGCAGUCGCAGUGCUUGGCCAACGGGCAGUGGAGCAGCACCCUGCCCGCCUGCCGCGUUGUAAACUGUACUGACCCCGGGCACCUGGAAAACAGCAUCCGUCAAGUGCAGCCGAGCGGGCCUCACAGAUUCAGCUUUGGAACCACUGUCUCAUAUCAGUGCAGCCAUGGAUAUUACUUACUGGGUACACACGUACUUACCUGUCAGGGGGAUGGCACUUGGGACCGUGCCCUCCCACAGUGUCUUUUGGUCUCUUGCGGGCACCCGGGCUCCCCACCCCACGCUCAGAUCUCGGGUGACAAGUACACCGUCGGCUCCGUGGUCCGCUACAGCUGCCUGGGGAAGCGGGUUCUCGUCGGCAACUCCACGCGCAUGUGCCAGCUGGACGGGCGCUGGAGCGGCUCCCUGCCGCACUGCUCGGGAGGCAGCCAGGGCGUGUGUGGCGACCCAGGGAUCCCGUCCCACGGCAUCGGGCUGGGAGAUGAGUUUGGUGUGGGCAGCGUGGUGCGGUUCAGCUGCGAGCCCGGCUACACCCUGCGGGGCUCAUCCGAGAGGACGUGCCAGGCCAACGGCUCCUGGAGCGGCGUGCAGCCCGAGUGUGAAGUUAUCUCCUGCGGGAACCCAGGCACCCCCAGCAACGCGAAGGUUCUGUUUAACGACGGCUUGGUUUUCUCCAGCUCCAUCAUAUACCAGUGCCGGGAGGGCUAUUACUCCACUGGUGUGCUGAGCAGGCACUGCACGGUGAACGGGACAUGGACCGGCACCAGCCCCGAGUGCACAGUGAUCAACUGUGGUGACCCAGGUGUGCCAGCCAACGGCAUUAGGCUGGGCAGUGAUUUUACCUACAACAAAACAGUGAUGUUCCAAUGCACGCCUGGGUACAUGAUGGAGUCGGACAGAGCAUCCUCUCUGAUGUGCACAAAAGACCGAACCUGGAAUGGCACCAAGCCUGCCUGCAAGGCCAUCGUCUGUAAAUCCCCUCAAGCCAUCCCCAACGGCAAAGUGGUGGGCUCGGAUUUCAGCUGGGGCUCCAGCGUCAGCUACGCCUGCCUGGAGGGAUACCAGCUGUCCCUGCCCGCCGUGCUCACCUGCGAGGGGAACGGGACCUGGAGCGGGGAGAUCCCCCAGUGCUUCCCCGUGUUCUGCGGAGAUCCGGGCAUCCCUGCCCAGGGCCGGCGGGAGGACCGAGGCUUCACGUACCGCUCCUCCGUGUCCUUCUCCUGCCUGGCCCCGCUGGUGCUGGUGGGCUCAGCGCGCCGCUUCUGCCAGUCCGACGGCACCUGGAGCGGGACCCAGCCCAGCUGCAUAGACCCGACCCUGACGACGUGUGCAGACCCCGGCGUGCCGCUCUUCGGGAUGCAGAACAACUCGCAGGGCUUCCAGGUGGGAAGCAUGAUUUUCUUCAAGUGCCAGAAGGGCUACCUGCUGCAGGGCUCCACCACCAGGACCUGCCUCCCCAACCUGACGUGGAGCGGCGUGCAGCCCGACUGCGUCCCUCACCACUGUAAGCAGCCGGAGACCCCCACCCACGCCAACGUCGGGGCUCUGGAUUUGCCAUCUCUGGGCUACACCUUGAUCUAUUCCUGUCAGAGUGGGUACUACCUCACCGGAGGAUCCGAGCAUCGAACCUGCAAAGCAGAUGGCAGCUGGACAGGGAAGCCUCCCAUCUGCCUCGCUGACGUCCGCCCCAGCGGCCGGCCGGUGGGCACUGCGCGGGACCCGCCGCUCUCCAAGCUGUCGGUGCCUGCUGAUGUGUUUGCAAGGAAUUCCCUUUGGAAAGGCUCCUACGAAUACAUGGGGAAAAAGCAGCCUGCGAUGCUGUCUGUCACCAGCUUCGACCCUGUCACCAGUAAAGUCAAUGCCACUUUAAUAGACCACAGCGGCGUGGAGCUCCAGGUUUCUGGCAUUUACAAGAAAGAAGACGUGCACCUGCUUCUCCAGGUUUAUCAGAUUAUGGGGCCGGUGGAGAUCUUUCUAAACAAGUUCAAAAAUGAUAAAUGGGCUCUAGAUGGACAUGUCUCAUCAGAGUCGUCCAGUGGCACGUUUGUGUACCAGGGCUUUGUGCGUGGCAAAGGGUUCGGGCAGUUUGGUCUUCAGAGAUUGGACGUCAGCAUGAUGGAAAACGAUCCGGAAUCAAUAGGACACCACUUUGCAUCAAACAGCAGUUCUGUGGCAGCUGCCAUUCUUGUGCCUUUCAUAGCCCUGAUUAUUGCAGGGUUUGUGCUUUAUCUCUACAAACACAGGAGAAGACCCAAAGUCCCAUUCAACGGCUACGCGGGCCAUGAGAACACCAACGUCCGAGCAACGUUUGAAAACCCCAUGUACGACCGAAACCUGCAGCCCACGGACAUCAUGGCCAACGAGACAGAGUUCACAGUCAGCACUGUGUGCACAGCUGUAUAGCACUCGUCCCCUGCGCGAUUCCUCCAGGGUCGGUAUCUAGCAAAGGAUUGUGUUUCACCUCACUAGUCUCCGUCCAUUCCCUCCCCACCUCCCUCCUUCCAACCUUGUUGAGGCUGUGGAGAAGCUGCUACACCUUGUUGGGCUUUGUGUUAACUCCUGAGAGACUGCUCCGUCGUCCUCGCCCGCCCGCUGCGUCCUGCCGUGGAUCAUGAAGCCAACCAAGCGUCUGCUCUGCACAGCUCCUCUCUCCCACCCUCCCAGCGUGCACCAGCCUGGUAGCAAGACCUGGGCAAGUGGAGGGCCUGGGAAGCAAGGUGAUGGGCUCAGUGUGCUGGAGGGAGCAGCGGGGCACCUGGGGUGUCCUCCACUUUCGAAGGAUCUUGGACAGCCAGGGAGGAAGCCAGGUUGCACCGCACGAGGUGCUGACUGGAGUUAAUGGAAAAUACCAGUAUGGGGCAAGAUGAGUACUGGCUUUGUCUUUCGUUGUGCGGGUUAUCUGUUGGUUUGUCCAAGUCAGAGCUUUUGCAGAAGUUUUCAGAUGGGACUUUUUCGAUGGGAAAUGCAAAACUUUUCGAACCUUUCUCCCCUUCCUGCUAUUUCGUUUUCCUUGGUACGCGUUUGCUGAGUUUGGGUUCCUCCUGCCCCCCUCGUCCAUUUCCACGAUGGCUCUUUGAGCCUGAGGCUGCUUUCAGGGCUGCUGGGGGAGCAUCCCUCCAUCCCUGGCCUCCUGCAGGCGGCUGCUGAUCUCAGCCGUGCCCAAACCCCCUCGUAAGAAAACUGCUGACAGACAGGAAGGGGCAAAAGCCUCCUUAAAAAUAACAAAUACUGAUCCCCCCCCUUCAACUAGUUGCAUUCAAAAGCCUUUGCCCUUUCCGUAUUGAUCCUCCAAAUGGCAAUGCAAUAAGAGUUUUAAUUUCUAUCCAAAGCUCUUCCCUUUAUUUCCCAGGGGCGGGAAGGUUGGCUUGGCUUUCAUGAGAACAGAUAAGGGGACUUGACAUUUUUCCUCCCUUCCAAAAGGACGAUGCUUUGCGAUGUCCUCCUCUAAUAAAGAGGAGAGCUGCUCGUGUUGAUUCAGGGGUUUAGUUUGUUUGGUUUGAGUCACUGUUUCUUGAACCGUGCUGGAGUCAAAGAAGGCAACAGUGCCAUUUUACCCAACUGUCAGUCGAGCACCUCUCUGAAAUACUGUUGACUUCGAGCCGUAAGUCAAUGAAACAGCUUUUUCUUACAGAAAACUUGAAGGGAAAAUAAUUAAAACAAAUGGAGUGGUGUUUACAUCUCUGCUUGCGUUUGAGCACUGGCUCUCCCCUACCUGAUGUCAGCUGAGGUUUUGUCUAAUGAAAACCACAGGGUAGUUUUUUUAUGUUUUGUUUAUUCCUUUACUGUGUGUGUGCGCGUGUGUAUAUGUAUAAAUAUAUAUUAUUUUUUUUUACUUCUGUCUCUCAUUCAGUGCUCUUAGCAUAAGCAGCAUUCUACAGCCUAUGGUCUGAACAGCCAGCCUGCCAAAAAAUGCCGUCUGCUCCCCAAAGCAUCACUAAGGUGCUCCGAUUUGCUCCUGAGAGGUGGGUAGAAGCACACACGUGAGCCAGAGCCCACACAGCAGUGGGUGCCCAGGCAGCUCAGGGCCACUCCUGCCAGUCCUGCAGCAAGCUGCUCUCCCAGCUCGUGCCAGAUACUCAGACAGGUGAGAAAGGUGCACCCUGCCAGCUGGGUGCUGGGACUGAGCUCCCUCGGGUAGCCAGGAGGGGCUGCCAUGGUGCCUGCCCUUCCCUGAGCAUCUCCAGCUCGCAGGACGCGGCCUCCAGGGCAAGUGGAAGGGAAAGUGAGGAGAGGGAUCCCCGAGGGGGCUGCGGUCUCGGGGUCUGGGGCUCAGCUCCCUCCAAUUCCUCCACUUCAGCUGGGCUGCUGCGGUGAAGCUGGGGGCUGCGUCUCCCUCACGUUGAUGGAACAGAUCAGGGCGUUCCCCUGGUUCUCUUGCUUCUGUAUGCAGUGAGGUGGCUGGUUCCUGACUUCACAUCUGCUCUCUGGCCCCUGUUUGACUUCAGAGGCCCCUCCCAAACCUGAGCUAUUCGGUGAUUUCUGCCCUUAGCCAAACCCACAGCGUGUUCUUCCUUGCCUUUGCCAAGUCCCCAUAACGCGGGGAACAGACCAGGCUCCCUUACACAGCACGUCUCGAAGGCAGCACCCUUUUGCAGCCCCCACGCCAGUGCUUGCAGCAUCCUGGCUCCCCUCUGAGCACAGACCUUGCAGCAUCCCACAGCAGCAGCACAGCUUGAAUCCGUCCCAGCUGCUGUCACUGAGCUCAAGAAAAAUGUCCCCCAGCUGCCACCAGCACCAGGCUGCUGGCACAGCGUGGGCAGGUUGGGCUGUGGGAGCCAUGCACACACACACACACACUCAACAACAGCUCCCACAUUUGCUUUUCAGACCUUUCCAAGUCCCGCUCCAUCAGGGUAAUAGCAAGGAGAAGCUUGUGUCGAGGCGUGUAAAACAAGCCUGAGAUGUUCUAACAGCAAAGCAGGGAGAGCCGGAGCUGUCCUUACACAAGGACUCCCUGGAUGCUGACUUGCACCCGUGCCCGAGGACGGCGGGGACGCGGCUGCACCCCAGCCUGGAGGAUCUGCGCUGUGAGCCCGUGGCCCCGUGCUGCAGCAGCUCUGCAGCUCAUCCCAGCUCUCACAACCACGCAGCAGCAGCAGCUCCCAGUGCAGCGCUCGGGCCGCACCGUGCUCCUUUCCCAGCUCGCUUCUCCCUGGGCGGACAGCCCGGAUCUGGACGCGGUUUGCCCGGCAGCGGCUCAUCCGCGAGGAGCUGAGCCGAGCUGACACCUGUCUGCUGUCCGUGCCCUCCUCCCUUCUCGCUUGCUCGGUGCUGAUGCAUUGCAGAUGUGCUUCCAGCUGCGCUCUCAUUCUGCUCCCCUUGCCCCCAGCUGGGGGGGAUGCUCAGUGCGCCGGGGCCCACGCAGCCUCCCCUGCGAAGCCCCUCCGAAAACAGGCACUUAAACAAGAGCCUGGAAGAGACAAACAAAAGCCUCGAAGCUGGGAUUCGAAUCUCCACCUCGCUGCUGAGAGCAGGAGCACAGCUCCCCGGGGUGAGACUGGCCACUGUCUCUCGAUCCGGGUUCACUGCCAAAUCCGCUUCGCUUCGAGUUGGAGAUGAAUUUGGCAGAGAAUCUUGGAGCUGGAAGGGGGCACUGGGCACGCUGCUGUGUCUGCUGUCGUGCUUGGGGAGGGUGCCUGAAGUUGCUGAGUUUCUCGCUGAUAAAUGGACACGUUCUCCUUUUAGGUUCCUCAGAGAAGUUUGUCAGUGUUUUUUUUGCUUUGAGCUGUAUCUCAGGGCCUCCUGCCCCAGCGGUUUGGUCUCCCUGCUGCUGCAGCGUGGAUCCUCCUGUUACCUCUCUGCAGCCCAGGUCGGGAGCAUCAGGUUGUGAUGGUCAGAGGGGAGCACGCAGCAUCCUGCAGGCAUCUCUGGGCAGCGCCCGUGCCUGAGGUCAGGGAGUGGUGCAGCUUAACAUGGCCACAGCAGGGGGACAGCCCGUCCCCCUCCGUCCCUCAUCCCCUCCCAAUGAGAUGUGCUGGAGCUUUAAAAACCGAGGUUGUAAAACGAGACGUCUGCAACAGGGCAAAACUUCCAUCUCUUCCAACCCCAGAGAAAGGCACAGCCAGACAACAAAUGAGUCAUUUAAUUGCUGCGGCAAUCAGCCCGGAAGAAAGAGCUCCAUGCCUCAGCCAGAACGGUGCAGUCCGUGGAUCCCCAGGACCACGAUAAAGAGCUGCUCCGUGAGUUACAGCGCUUCGACAUGAGACGUUCCUGCUUCCUCCCCAGCUGCUGCCAUGGGGCAGGAAAUGAUGGCUUGCCCCUGUGCCCUCCUGGUGCUCGGGGUUAAUCCCCGGCUGCGUUGUCUUGCUUUUCCAGCAGGCUUUUCUCGGGCCCUGCUGCAGGCAGGAGGAAACACGGCGCUGAGAUGGGUGCUGGGCGGGGGGGACUGCAGGGUCUGCGAGGCCCCAUCCCGUGCUCGCGCUGCGCCCGGUGCAGGCUGCUUGUCAGCUCUGCUGCUUCUGCUCCACGAUGCCCCAAUUUGCUUUAAUUAGGCCGUGUUCUCUGCCGAACGCCUCCUCGCUCCCCCUCACCGGUGACUGACUGCAAUUAGCUCGCGUCUCGGCACUGAUGGACGCAGUUUGUUUUAAGGAAGGGCGUUCCGCGCUCUUUGAUGUCCUGCUGCUUGCUGCUGCUCUGCCCACGCCGGCUCCGCUGCUGCAGGCCUCCUGCUCUCUGUGGCUUUCACGCUGCCUUUUAUUUGUCUCUUCUGAGCCAGACGCUUCAUCUUUCUCGUUCCGUUCCCUCCUCGGCUGCUUUACCUGGAAUGAGGUCGGCAGGAAGGCGCCGGGACUCAUCCCCGGAGGUUUCCGCACGCGGUGCAUGGGCUGGGAGCUGCACCAGCCUCAGCACGAGGAGAGGGAGAUGGUUUUUAACAGAAUGACGGGGCAGCAGUGCUGCUCCUGGUUGACUUCGAGGGCAGCGGUGGGGGGAAACCCCCACAUCACAGCAGGAGGGCUCCGUGGAGCUCGCCCAUCUCUCAGGGCUCCCCAGACACCCAGGCAGUCCCCCUUGGAAAUCAAUGAAAUAACAUCAACCCGCGUUGGCACAUCUCGCCCCUUUCCAGCAGGUUCUCAUUUAGCCAGCACCAUAAGCGUUUGCGGAGCUAAUUAACAGCAAUUUCUAUCAGCGCUUUGUAAAUGAGCGAUUAGCUCCUGGGGGUGCCCCCUACGUGCGCUCCACCCACAGCUGCGGCUCCCUUGGCUUUUCAGCAGAACUCGGGGAUGGAAACACCCCCCUAAUUACUCCAAUUAGGUGGAGCAGCCACCCUGCCCCUGUGUAGUCCGGCCCCCGGCCUAGCCCCACGUGGGGAGCUUGUGAUGUUAUUAAUUUCAUCGCUUUAUUUUACUUUAUUUGCUCCUUCUAUUUACUCGCCGAGCCAAUGCCGACCGUCCGGGGUUCGAACCCGCUGUGCUCAGAGCCCCUUUCCCAUUUGGUGGCUGGGGUCUGUGUUUGGGGGGGGUACAACUGUGAGUGAGCAUGGUGAGGAUGAGGGAUGGGGGGAAGGUUCUUCCUCCUCCCCACGCUGCCUGGGAGGGGGGAGCCCGCAGCUGUCCAAGCGAAUUACGGCCACGCAGCGGCUGUGCUGGUUCCGCUCUACAGCACUCGACAGAGCACCUGGAAAUUCAUUUGUCACCGGAGGAGAAAGGGAAGGAAGCAAGUGAGGUGAGUAAUGAAAUGCUAGAAUAAUUAACCACGGAGAGGAGGCAGCGGGGAGCGGGGCUGAGGCUCUGCCUGCUGCUCCUGCUGCUCCAUCCUCACUUUCUGCUCCACCCUGGUCACCGUCCCCAGGACAGGACGCUCCUGGCACACAGCGCUGUUCCUCAGCUCCGCUAACUCACAGCUUCCCAGCAGACGUAGCUCUGGGGUUGGGCAGCCUGGUGGUAGAGCUUGGGAUGCUUCCUCCAGGGAGACCUGCAGCUUGCUGGGUGGAGGGGUGCAGAGUCGUGGCCGUCCAGCUGAGAGAGGGGGGAAACCUCCAAGCUCUCGCAGUGUGGGUCAAGGGGAAGCUUUCAGUUGGUUGUAAUGGGAUUUCUGUUGGACCCUGCAGCUGAAGUUUCUGUGUGUGUCAGACCCUGCAGUGCACGUUCAGGCUCCGGGCUUCAUCAAGACCAGGGGGGAGCAAAAAGAUUUUGUGGGGAGGAGCUUCCUAAGGGCAAUGCAGGUAUAAGAGAAACCACAGCCCUGAUGCUGCUCCAUUGCUCAGUUAACAUUAGUUUGGGUUGUUCUAGCUUUCCUCAUCCAUUCUUAAAUAAUUCCAUUGCAAGGUUCCCACUUUGCACGUCGCUCUGUGCAGGCUUGCCCUCUCUAUCUCCAGCAAAUGAGAAACUUAAACUUACUCUAAAAAAAAAAAAACCCACCACCAAAGAGCAGGAAUCCUUGCACGGAGCUGAUGUUUGCAUCCUGCCGGUGCAGCCAGGUUCUCUUGUGCAUUCAAGGCCCAGCAAAGGCUGCACCAUGGCAGGACCGUGCAUGCAUGCAGUGCUGGGGGGCCAUGCAGGUGCAGAGGGGCAGCAGUGCUCUGCCCAUCAGGUGUUGGUAGAGCUCAGUCAUAAUUUGCAGGGAAUCAUUUACAGCGAAUUUACCUCCCCUUCUCUCGGAAUGUCCAGCAGCAGGUUGCAAUGUGGCUGAAUUCCUUCGUUAUCGAAAGGGAGUUGACAAAUAAUGUGUCACCAUCAGGUCUGGCGCUCUGCCCGCUGCUGGCUGUGCACAACAGAACGCGCUUUGCUGAGGUGGGGCACAUCCACUGGGGGCUGUUUCCUCGCCCUUUCCCCUGCUUGAUGUGAAACCCCCCCGGAAACACCCACAUGGAUGGACCCUGCGUGCAGCCUGGAAACCCGCAGCCUGGAGACCAGCGUAUCCUCAGGCAGCAGAUGAGAUGAUGACCAAGCGUCACCGUCCUGCAGCGACCUGCCGAAGACAUCCAUCCCCUCCUGUGAGAAACAAGCACCCAGGAAGGCAUCCCCUCGCUGGGCUGCUCCUGCAGAUGCUGCCAAAGCCUUCCAGCUCUGCCUGAGCCUCCGCAUCCCACCCGAGGGCUCCGUUGCCAGCUCUCUUCCUCGCUGCAUUCUUGCAGCUGGAUGUCCUACAGAAAAUUAAAUCCGCCACCGCCUUCUCUGGCUUGUUUCCUACAGGUUGGGCGCAGCGGGCUGUUCUGGCCCGGCGGCAGUGAUAAAAUAAUAAUAAUGAAAUGAAAUGGCUUUCUGAGAUGGGAAACCAUCCCGGCUCUGUUGGGGCUGUAACAGAGGUGGUGAUCGCAAGGAGCCGUGGGCCGGCUGCCACAGAUGGGCUGCUCACAGCCCCACGCUUUGCUUUGCUCGCAGGGCACUGAGCUGACCUCGGCUGUCAGAGCUGCAGAAAACCAGGACACGUUGCCCUGCUGCAGCCCAGAGCCCAGCCAAGCCCUUAACUCCUUGGGUGAGGGUGGGAGCUGCAUGGUGCAGCUUCCCUGCACAUCUCGUUUGCAACUUGCUCCGGUUGGAUUAGAAAAAGGGAGCAUGGUUUUAUCACUCAGUGACCAUCAUACAUCCCCCUGGCCAUGGCUCUGCAGGGCAGUGCUCUGAGCAGGAGCAGUCCUCCAGGUGCUCAGGCACAGCUCGCCCUGCAGCUCCAGCCUGCCCCACAGAGCAGCAUCCCCUCCCCU